CACCGCGGUUAUACGAGAAACUCUAGUUGAUAAUGCACGGCGUAAAGGGUGGUUAGGAACAAUAAAUGAAGUAAGGCCUAACGAUUUUUAUGCUGUUAUAAGUUUACAAAAAUUAGAAGCCCGUCCACGAAGGUGGCCUUAUUACCUCUGACCCCACGAAGGCUUGAGAAA
rnacentral:rRNA from 1 species